rnacentral:rRNA from 1 species
GACGUAGGGCGCGAGUGUUGUCCGGAAUUACUGGGCGUAAAGAGUGUGUAGGCGGUGUUCCCAGUCUGUUGUGAAAUCUCCCGGCUUAACUGGGAGGGUGCAGCGGAAACUAGAAUGCUAGAGGGUGGGAGAGGUAAGCGGAAUUCCUGGUGUAGCGGUGAAAUGCGUAGAUAUCAGGAGGAACACCUGUGGUGUAGACAGCUUACUGGACCACUUCUGACGCUGAGACACGAAAGCGUGGGUAGCAAACAGG